rnacentral:rRNA from 1 species
AUUGAACGCUGGCGGCAUGCUUUACACAUGCGAGUCGAACGGCAGCGCGGGCUUUGGCCUGGCGGCGAGUGGCGAACGGGUGAGUAAUACAUCGGAACGUGCCCAGUAGUGGGGGGUAGCUCGGCGAAAGCCGGAUUAAUACCGCAUACGACCUGAGGGUGAAAGCGGGGGAUCUUCGGACCUCGCGCUAUUGGAGCGGCCGAUGGCAGAUUAGCUAGUUGGUGGGGUAAAGGCCUACCAAGGCGACGAUCUGUAGCUGGUCUGAGAGGACGACCAGCCACACUGGGACUGAGACACGGCCCAGACUCCUACGGGAGGCAGCAGUGGGGAAUUUUGGACAAUGGGCGAAAGCCUGAUCCAGCAAUGCCGCGUGUGUGAUGAAGGCCUUCGGGUUGUAAAGCACUUUUGGCGGGAACGAAAAGGACUGUGCCAAUACCACGGUUCGAUGACGGUACCCGCAGAAUAAGCACCGGCUAACUACGUG